GCCCCUUUGGAGACAUGUGAUAAAAUUGAAACAAUACAGAGAAGAUUAAUUAGCAUAACCCCUCCACAAGAAAUUUUUAGUUUAUAUAUACAUAAAUUGUCG